CCUACGGGAGGCUGCAGUGGGGAAUAUUGCACAAUGGGGGAAACCCUGAUGCAGCGACGCCGCGUGAGUGAAGAAGUAAUUCGUUAUGUAAAGCUCUAUCAGCAGGGAAGAAAAUGACGGUACCUGAGUAAGAAGCCCCGGCUAACUACGUGCCAGCAGCCGCGGUAAUACGUAGGGGGCAAGCGUUACCCGGAUUUACUGGGUGGAAAGGGAGAGGAGACGGCAGUGCAAGUCUGGAGUGAAAGGCGGGGGCUCAACCCCCGGACUGCUCUGGAAACUGUACGGCUGGAGUGCAGGAGAGGUAAGUGGAAUUCCUAGUGUAGCGGUGAAAUGCGUAGAUAUUAGGAGGAACACCAGUGGCGAAGGCGGCUUACUGGACUGUAACUGACGUUGAGGCUCGAAAGCGUGGGGAGCAAACAGGAUUAGAUACCCCAGUAGUC
rnacentral:rRNA from 1 species